AGAGUUCACACCAUUCACAUGAGAAUUUUAGAGGGAAAAAUAUUUACAAUUCAACUGCUCCAAAUGAAACUAGUAUAAGAUUCUUUAUGAUGCAAGUCUACUUUCAAAAUGUCAAAAUGAUGAACCAUUUUCUGCUUUCAUCCAGCCUGCUUCCCAAGAUGGAAAUAUAUAUGGAGCAUUUGCUGUAUCCCAUGUAUUAUACUGAGCAUUGGGGAUGCCAAGUUGUAACAUGAUGCUUGGAGAGCUAGCUGCAGUGGGGGGAAAUGAAGAUGACCCACAAUGAACUCCAUUCCAGUGAUGCUCUUCUUCUGAUGCUGGAAAAUCUAAGAUCAAGCUGCCAGCCUAUUCGAUUCCUGA
rnacentral:lncRNA from 10 species